GGUUAAGCGACUAAGCGUACACGGUGGAUGCCCCGGCAGUCAGAGGCGAUGAAGGACGUGCUAAUCUGCGAUAAGCGUCGGUAAGGUGAUAUGAACCGUUAUAACCGGCGAUUUCCGAAUGGGGAAACCCAGUGUGAUUCGUCACACUAUCAUUAACUGAAUCCAUAGGUUAAUGAGGCGAACCGGGGGAACUGAAACAUCUAAGUACCCCGAGGAAAAGAAAUCAACCGAGAUUCCCCCAGUAGCGGCGAGCGAACGGGGAGCAGCCCAGAGCCUGAAUCAGUGUGUGUGUUAGUGGAAGCGUCUGGAAAGGCGCGCGAUACAGGGUGACAGCCCCGUACACAAAAAUGCACAUACUGUGAGCUCGAUGAGUAGGGCGGGACACGUGGUAUCCUGUCUGAAUAUGGGGGGACCAUCCUCCAAGGCUAAAUACUCCUGACUGACCGAUAGUGAACCAGUACCGUGAGGGAAAGGCGAAAAGAACCCCGGCGAGGGGAGUGAAAAAGAACCUGAAACCGUGUACGUACAAGCAGUGGGAGCACGCUUAGGCGUGUGACUGCGUACCUUUUGUAUAAUGGGUCAGCGACUUAUAUUCUGUAGCAAGGUUAACCGAAUAGGGGAGCCGAAGGGAAACCGAGUCUUAACUGGGCGUUAAGUUGCAGGGUAUAGACCCGAAACCCGGUGAUCUAGCCAUGGGCAGGUUGAAGGUUGGGUAACACUAACUGGAGGACCGAACCGACUAAUGUUGAAAAAUUAGCGGAUGACUUGUGGCUGGGGGUGAAAGGCCAAUCAAACCGGGAGAUAGCUGGUUCUCCCCGAAAGCUAUUUAGGUAGCGCCUCGUGAAUUCAUCUCCGGGGGUAGAGCACUGUUUCGGCAAGGGGGUCAUCCCGACUUACCAACCCGAUGCAAACUGCGAAUACCGGAGAAUGUUAUCACGGGAGACACACGGCGGGUGCUAACGUCCGUCGUGAAGAGGGAAACAACCCAGACCGCCAGCUAAGGUCCCAAAGUCAUGGUUAAGUGGGAAACGAUGUGGGAAGGCCCAGACAGCCGGGAUGUUGGCUUAGAAGCAGCCAUCAUUUAAAGAAAGCGUAAUAGCUCACUGGUCGAGUCGGCCUGCGCGGAAGAUGUAACGGGGCUAAACCAUGCACCGAAGCUGCGGCAGCGACACUAUGUGUUGUUGGGUAGGGGAGCGUUCUGUAAGCCUGUGAAGGUGUGCUGUGAGGCAUGCUGGAGGUAUCAGAAGUGCGAAUGCUGACAUAAGUAACGAUAAAGCGGGUGAAAAGCCCGCUCGCCGGAAGACCAAGGGUUCCUGUCCAACGUUAAUCGGGGCAGGGUGAGUCGACCCCUAAGGCGAGGCCGAAAGGCGUAGUCGAUGGGAAACAGGUUAAUAUUCCUGUACUUGGUGUUACUGCGAAGGGGGGACGGAGAAGGCUAUGUUGGCCGGGCGACGGUUGUCCCGGUUUAAGCGUGUAGGCUGGUUUUCCGGGCAAAUCCGGAAAAUCAAGGCUGAGGCGUGAUGACGAGGCACUACGGUGCUGAAGCAACAAAUGCCCUGCUUCCGGGAAAAGCCUCUAAGCAUCAGGUAACAUCAAAUCGUACCCCAAACCGACACAGGUGGUCAGGUAGAGAAUACCAAGGCGCUUGAGAGAACUCGGGUGAAGGAACUAGGCAAAAUGGUGCCGUAACUUCGGGAGAAGGCACGCUGAUAUGUAGGUGAAGUCCCUUGCGGAUGGAGCUGAAAUCAGUCGAAGAUACCAGCUGGCUGCAACUGUUUAUUAAAAACACAGCACUGUGCAAACACGAAAGUGGACGUAUACGGUGUGACGCCUGCCCGGUGCCGGAAGGUUAAUUGAUGGGGUCAGCGCAAGCGAAGCUCUUGAUCGAAGCCCCGGUAAACGGCGGCCGUAACUAUAACGGUCCUAAGGUAGCGAAAUUCCUUGUCGGGUAAGUUCCGACCUGCACGAAUGGCGUAAUGAUGGCCAGGCUGUCUCCACCCGAGACUCAGUGAAAUUGAACUCGCUGUGAAGAUGCAGUGUACCCGCGGCAAGACGGAAAGACCCCGUGAACCUUUACUAUAGCUUGACACUGAACAUUGAGCCUUGAUGUGUAGGAUAGGUGGGAGGCUUGGAAGUGUGGACGCCAGUCUGCAUGGAGCCGACCUUGAAAUACCACCCUUUAAUGUUUGAUGUUCUAACGUUGACCCGUAAUCCGGGUUGCGGACAGUGUCUGGUGGGUAGUUUGACUGGGGCGGUCUCCUCCUAAAGAGUAACGGAGGAGCACGAAGGUUGGCUAAUCCUGGUCGGACAUCAGGAGGUUAGUGCAAUGGCAUAAGCCAGCUUGACUGCGAGCGUGACGGCGCGAGCAGGUGCGAAAGCAGGUCAUAGUGAUCCGGUGGUUCUGAAUGGAAGGGCCAUCGCUCAACGGAUAAAAGGUACUCCGGGGAUAACAGGCUGAUACCGCCCAAGAGUUCAUAUCGACGGCGGUGUUUGGCACCUCGAUGUCGGCUCAUCACAUCCCGGGGCUGAAGUAGGUCCCAAGGGUAUGGCUGUUCGCCAUUUAAAGUGGUACGCGAGCUGGGUUUAGAACGUCGUGAGACAGUUCGGUCCCUAUCUGCCGUGGGCGCUGGAGAACUGAGGGGGGCUGCUCCUAGUACGAGAGGACCGGAGUGGACGCAUCACUGGUGUUCGGGUUGUCAUGCCAAUGGCACUGCCCGGUAGCUAAAUGCGGAAGAGAUAAGUGCUGAAAGCAUCUAAGCACGAAACUUGCCCCGAGAUGAGUUCUCCCUGACUCCUUGAGAGUCCUGAAGGAACGUUGAAGACGACGACGUUGAUAGGCCGGGUGUGUAAGCGCAGCGAUGCGUUGAGCUAACCGGUACUAAUGAACCGUGAGGCUUAACCUU
rnacentral:rRNA from 1 species